AAGAGUGCCGAAAGUAUUUAGAAACCAUCUUUCAGUACCAAGUAAACAACAGGUAGAAUUUGUCCAACAUCUUUGUUCAGCUUGGUGUAUGCCUGCCUACUUAAAGCACCAAAUUAUGAAGCAGGUAUUUUUCCUUCCUCCUCCACCAGUAAGACCGUACUUACAAAACACCCAUGAAAUAACACAGAACAGUUUUAGCUAACUUGUAAAAGCAGUGGACAAAUUUCAACAUGUGAAAGAAUGUACAACCUGAGAAGGCAUUAUUUUGCUUCAGAUAAAAAAGCCGAAGCCAAGAAUAUCAGCGUAUGAACAGAAACAAGAGAAUAUGACAUAGCUACUCAAAGCAUUUUACAUUAAGUAGAAAAGAUCGUCCAUUACUACCAACAGAUUAAAUAAGAAUAUACAUUCAAUACAACACAUACAGGAUCUUAAAAUACAGUAUUGUGUAAGGAAAACAUAUUUCUAAAUCAAAUUUAAACACCAGGCUAGCUCACUAGAAACUGCCAAUCUGAAGCACUCCAACAGCUGUGUUCACAUCCCUUUAGAAAAGUCAUGGCUCUGACAUAAAAUCCAGACAUUUCCAGAACUGUAUACAUACAUAGACUUGCAUUCUGGUUUUUAAGGUCAUAGACGUAAGCUUUUAUGGAGUAUGAAGAAUGCAUUUACAAAAAUGAAAUGCAUAGAUACCUGUUGCCAAGGGUGAUGAAGAAACAAACACUUCUCUGCUUUUCUUUCUCCUCUACAGAUAUGUCUGCCUUGGUAACAUACAGACCACAGCAGCAGAAGGUUAUGGGAGGAGUUACUCCUGUCCAGUGGAGAACACUUUUUCUUUUUCAAAGCCAAAAAAACACCACCAACAACAAUAAACAACCCUACCGUUCCAUAGCAUCUUUUUUGUAAUCAAAGGCAAGCAAAACCAUGAUUGUUUAUUAUGUGUCCUGGCUUUACUGCAGCCAUAUUAAGCCAUGCAAAUCAAGAAGAGAUAUUAAUAUGUGACUGGAAGGUCAGAAAGUAACAACCAAGCAACAACAGACAUGUCUGACAGCAUAGGACAAUGCUUCUGUUGCAAUGAUGCAGCACUCUAACAUACGGUGAGGGGAUCUCAGAUAAACUUCAGUCAGAGUGAAUACUAAGAGAUUGCACUUCCUGUUACAUUUUCUUACUGCACACUACACAAUUUAAUAAAAUAAAUCCAUUGAAUGUUAAUUAAAAGGAAAAAAAAGGUUAUCCUCCUGCAUGUAGCUGCACUAAGGCAACAGAGUUGGAUGAAAGGUCCUUUUUAACAUCAAGGCUUUUGUACUGUAGUUAUGCUUGGUAUUAAUCCACUGAUAUGGGUAUAAUACCUGCUUUUGCUUAUUUUUUCUUCUGUAUGAAGGAGUGAUACAAUAGUCACACACUUAUUUAUAUCACUGGCUGGUUCAUCAAAUUUUCUCAAAUCAGGUCAUUUUAAGGCUGACAUAUUUUUUUAUGACUUUGAGUAUUUGAAAUAGCAAAAAGCAUUCCAUAUCCUCCAGCUGUUAGGUUUUUUUUAAAUAUUAAGUCUACCACUUAUGUGUAAUAUAUAAUAAAUCAGUGUGUUACCUUGAGCAAAGAGGCAUUCAGCAUCACUGAGUAGAAAGCAUUCAGAAAUAUGCACCUCACAAGCGUGUGGUUUUGAACAAGUCAUUCUGCUACCAUAGUUCAUUUACGAUUAUAAAUAGCAGCUAACCUGAAAACUUAGGGAGAUAUAAAAAUGGAAAAGGUGGCAGAAUGGUUUUGAAGAUUAAUAGCACUUUCCUUUCUUAUUAUCAUACAUGGCCUUCUAAUUUUCAGGUCCGAUUUCAUGAGAAGACAAAAAUACACAUUAAAACAAAACGUGUUUGAAAAUUGUUUUCUUCAUAAAUCGAACUGCAAUGUAACUUCCAGUAUAUUGCUAAUAUGCAUUUAUCUGCUGAAUCCCAAAACCUGUACAAAUACAUCAUCUAGCUCUUGUUUGCACUGUGUAGUUAAAAACAAAACAAAAACCUUUUGCUUGCUUAAAGAAAGGAUAAGUAUAAACAUCACAAUCAUUUCCUUCUCUUUGGUCUCAUUACAGCUUUCAUUAACGUUGUAUUUAUGAAUAAUGCUUCUCGGAACACUGCCCAACUUUAAAAUCAUUACAGACCAGGAGCAGGAUUUAUCUAUAUAAACUCUCUUAAGAGUUGUUAGACAAAUCACCUGUAAGUCCUGAAUUACUCAAAGCACUACAAAAGGAGAAGAUGACUAUUCAUCAGUUUGAGAGAUAAUGUUGGUCUACUGAUGACUCUAUGUUAAAAUAAAAAUUGUAUUUAACCUGAAUCAUGCUAUAAAACACGCAACUUAGUACUGGAUUAAGCAAGGGCUGUGGCCUAAGCAAUAACAAAUUGGGCACUGAAGACUAGUGAAGGCAGAUGGACUCAUUCUAUUUCGAUUGAAGUGGAUGAACUCAAGUUCAAUGCCCAGACCAUAAAAUAGACCAGUAAAGUAUUCUAAUAACUAUUUCAGAACAUAUGUUAUACUGGUUUCUUUGUAAAACUCCUACAGUUGUUCUACAAGACUUCUUUGUCCACUAUAUAUCAUUCUCUCUUUCUCACUGUUUGAUUUGCCUCAGUCUUUUAUCUUCACAAUUGCCAUCUGAACACCAGCGUGCGGACAGAUUUUACUGCCCACUUGUAUCCUUCCAUAGGCCAGAAGCAUUCCUUUAUUACUGCAGUUAUCCUAGCGAAGACUUAUUACUCUCACUGCAACACAAGGAGCAUUUUUUUGUUGGCAGCGAUCCUCUAGCUUUCAGACACAAAGGCAUGAUUUAAAGAAAAACAUCAGCCCCUGAAGACUUCCACAGGUUUUCCCUUGCAAACGGAGCUUUCACUGUGGCACACAAGUAAUAGCAAGAUGGCCGGAUGAAGCAACGCGUCUGAAAAGCUCGGCUGUCAGCUCGUUACAUUAACCAUAUAUAACACCCUAUCCAUUCCCGGGCCUGCAUGAAAUCGUUCAAGCUAAAUGGAGAAAACUACAGGACUAGCAAGAAGGAGGAAAAAGAAAAAAAGGGGAAAAAAAAAAAAAAAGAAUGCCAUGUUCAACAGUUCUCCUUUUGCUUGCUGUACGGUCUUGGAAGCAAAGGGAAAGCUAAAAGCCCACCGCUGAUUAAAGGCAGAACAGGAAGGAUUAAACCAUUAUCAUUUCUUUAAAUGCUGGUGAAGGCUGGUAUGUGCUCCGUGGAAAAUCACAACAGGUGCAAGUGCGGCCCAAUUUCAACAACCUCUGCAACUCCAGGGGCCAGUUCCUGUGCUAGCGACCAGCCUUUCAACUGCAAAGGUUCCGACUAAAUUAGCUGUAAAGGAUCUUUAAUUAAAAUGAGUAUGGUGGUUUUGGCUUGCUCAGCGUGUCUCCUUGUGAUUUGUUACAUCACAUACCGUCACAAAUUUGGCACAACUGGCAAAGCUGUUACCGAAAACGCACCUCAAGAAGAAGAAAAUGAAGCCCUCCUCACUCCCCUGUACAAUAGGUUUUUAUUUCUCCACUAUGAUGGCUCAGAAACCCAUUUCGUGGCUCUCUGCAGAUAACAUUUUGCUUCCCUCAUUCCGAGCUCCUGUUUUGACCUUGAUAGCUUGACUAUGCCUGAGGAGAGCAGGACUGGCCAGUCUCACUACACGCACUUUAUCUGCCGUUUUCACAGAGCUGAUGUGUAAGCUUGCAUAGUGAUAAGACCGUAUUUGGCAGUGAAAUACUGACUUUUAAUUUGUUGUACAAAUAUUAAGGAUAAUUCUUGGAUGAUCUACACUAAUAGAGCUCACCCUUCAGAGCUGGCACCAGCAGUGGUGCAGGCUGCAAAUUAAGGGGAACCUACCAGAUGAAUCAGUCUAUGACAACAGACUGGUUAUUUUUAAGAAAUCAAAGGCAGUGAGUAUCUAAUCUGGAAGGCUGAUGAAUGUUCUCACUCAGUAGGUGUGAAAUAAUCAGAGACAAGUAGUCUUCCCACCUCCAUUUAAAUGACUAGAGAAAAGAGCAUGAAUCUGUCUGAUCUGUGUCUACAAUUAUUUUAAGUGUACAACAGUUUGGUGCAAUAGCACAUGAAAUUAGCAAUAUCAGACCAUAGGAAAAAUGUCAAACUAUCAAUUUGUUACAGAAAGGUGAGUUUCUGUUCAGCUGAUCCAGUAUUGUGUAGUAGGCCAUUCUACCUCCAGUAAGCACAAAGUACACGUCUCUAUCAUUACUAAGACCCACUCCUUAAAUAUCAACAUUCAAGUUUUAAAAAUAUAUUCUAGCUUUCACCAUGUCUGCAGGAGUUACAAUUUCACAUUGCCAUCAAAU